GUUGACCUCGGAUCAGGUAGGGAUACCCGCUGAACUUAAGCAUACA
rnacentral:rRNA from 1 species